CUCAAAAGUUAGGCUUCCGGCUAUCGCUGCACCCAUUGUCUUUUGAGCACCGUCGUUUCCUCGGCGGGUCUGCCUGCCGAGUUGGACAUCAUUAAACCUUUUGUCAGUUGCAAUCAGCGUCUAGAAAAACAAUUAAUAUUA
rnacentral:misc_RNA from 1 species